rnacentral:rRNA from 1 species
UACGAAGGGGGCGAGCGUUGUUCGGAAUUACUGGGCGUAAAGGGCGCGCAGGCGGCUCUGAAAGUCAGAUGUGAAAGCCCCGGGCUUAACCUGGGAAUUGCAUUUGAUACUCUGGAGCUUGAGUACGGGAGAGGAGAGUGGAAUUCCCAGUGUAGAGGUGAAAUUCGUAGAUAUUGGGAAGAACACCGGUGGCGAAGGCGGCUCUCUGGCCCGGUACUGACGCUGAGGUGCGAAAGCGUGGGGAGCAAACAGGG